ACUGCCAUAGCACGUUAAAACACCGGUUCCUCUAAGAUCACCGAAGUUAAGCAAAGUCGAGCUUGGUCAGUACUUAGAUGGGUGAUCGCUUGAGAAUAUCAGGUGCUGUAA